rnacentral:rRNA from 1 species
GACGAACGCUGGCGGCGUGCUUAACACAUGCAAGUCGAACGGGAAGGCCCUUCGGGGUACUCGAGUGGCGAACGGGUGAGUAACACGUGGGUGAUCUGCCCUGCACUUUGGGAUAAGCCUGGGAAACUGGGUCUAAUACCGAAUAGGACCACGCGCUUCAUGGUGUGUGGUGGAAAGCUUUUGCGGUGUGGGAUGGGCCCGCGGCCUAUCAGCUUGUUGGUGGGGGAAUGGCCUACCAAGGCGACGACGGGUAGCCGGCCUGAGAGGGUGACCGGCCACACUGGGACUGAGGUACGGCCCAGACUCCUACGGGAGGCAGCAGGGGGGAAUAUUGCACAAUGGGCGCAAGCCUGAUGCAGCGACGCCGCGUGAGGGAUGACGGCCUUCGGGUUGUAAACCUCUUUCAAUAGGGACGAAGCGCAAGUGACGGUACCUAUAGAAGAAGCACCGGCCAACUACGUG